UCUCUCUGUCACCUCCCACCCGUGCUGACCCAUCAGGCGCGCACACCCUGAGGCGGACGCAGACCCUGCCCCGUUCUCUCUGCAGCCCAAGCUGCAUUCUGCAAAUGAGCACGACCUACUUCAUGAGACCUGUUCUACCCUCAGAUACCAGGAUGAGUUGACCUGAGAUCUGAAGCCUGUUCUACUCUGGCCACCCUGACUCCUUUGCCUCCUGAAAAUCCAGUUGAAGUGUUGAGACUGCAGAAUAGAAAUAUAGAAAGAUGGGUUAUUUAUGCCAUGGUGAGAUUAACCAACCCUGUAACUGCUUUGCCAUCACCCUCCUUGUAA